rnacentral:ncRNA from 1 species
GCGCCCCCUCGUGAUCGUCUUCUCACCCUUCACGCGGCGGGCGGAACAGAGGAACGGCCCCUGCGAUGACGGGAAUCGCGGGGGCCGUUC